AAGCGCGUGGCCGAGGGGUUUAAAGGCAAUGGACUCGAAAUCCAUCUGUCUACCCGCGUGGUUCGAAUCUACCGGCUGCGAUUU